UUGAUGCAGGUGAGGAGACAAGUCUAUGGGUAAUUUGCGUCUGAGGCAUUUCUAUGAUGUCACACCCUUUUCACCUUGGAGAUCUGAUGCAUCCG
rnacentral:snoRNA from 1 species